rnacentral:sRNA from 1 species
AUAGAAUAUAGAAAGAAUUGCUUAAAUAACUCAGCGAUCUAAAAUCAUAGUCACGAUCUACUAAAAGUAAAGUUGAGCACCCGGACCAGACAGAGGUGGCCGAGAAUCUUAUGUCAAAAGGACCAAGGAUGAUCUUUUCGGAAAGGAGGAGUAGGAGGAGUCAGACGGAAUCAAAUGAUUACGAGAUAGACAAUGAGACCAGGGAGAGCAAGAGCACUUAGACAAUUCACUUUGAGUACAGGAAAGUCUGCUGGUAGGAAUUCCUCAGGGCGUAUUACGGUUUUUCACCGAGGGGGUGGCUCGAAGCGAUUGCUGCGAAGAAUUGAUCUGAAACGAAGCACUUCCUCUAUGGGCAUUGUAGAGAGUAUAGAAUAUGACCCUAAUCGUUCUUCUCAGAUCGCUCCAGUACGAUGGAUCAAAGGGGGCUGCCAGAAAAAAAUGAACACGAUCGAGAAGUUCGCUCCGCCGCGCAAGAUCCUCGAACCUACCACGAACACCAUCAGCGGCCUCUUUUCGUUCUCUUUCCUGCCCGGGAAGGUGGAUAAAAGAAAGGUAGCUUGCUUCUCUCCUGGACUGAUGGCCGCUUAUGUAGUGGUCGGCCUUCCUACCGGAAUGCCUCCUUUGUCUUCGUCUAAGAGCGCCUUUGCUAGUAAGGGCGCAGGAAGCACAAAAACUUUAGUGAAGGACGUCUUCUUCUCUGCCUUCUCCUCUUUAAAGGCCAAGAGAGAGACUGCAUCCCUUGCCUUCGCUAGCUCUUUUGGUUUCCCAAGGAUAGCGGUAGCUGGGGCAAAGCCCGCUUUCUUCGCUCCGCGAAUGAGACAGAAAGUGAGAGGAAAAAGCACGUUCUCUCUUUGCGAGGUCCAAAAGGGGAGAACGCAUAGCAUUCUCUGGGCACAUAGGAUCAAAGGUAAAGCAGGGCUUUCUUGGCAGAGUUUUAGGCGGCAAGAUACUUUAGGGCUUGUUGGAGCUGCUGGGCAUAAAAAAUCGAAGCCGAAGACAGAUCAAGGUAACUUGCCUGCCAAGCCAAUAGGCGAAAGGGCGAAGCAACUCAAAGCUCUCCGGGGUUUGAGGGCGAAGGAUGGAGCGUGCAAAGUCGAUCGUGCACCUGUCGUGUGACCCGUUGGUCCUAAGCAAUGUCUUGCGCGAAGCGACCCACCUAGAAAGAGCUCUCCUUUAUCUGGGGGCACUAAAAUGAAACUUCGAUCAGAUGCGGGUAUAAAAUCCCGCCGCUGAGAUGUCCAGCGGAUUCCUGAGCCUUGACGAAAGGUCGGCCACCUUUUUUUUACGGAGAGCAAAAGGCCCGGGGCAUAGCAGGAUGAACCAAUGUGAAUGAGUGUAAGCUUCGUUGCCCGAACACGAUUGGUGCUGACCACACUAGGUGCUACCGCGGUAGCAAGAGAGGCCAGGCAAUGACAAUUGAGAGGUUGUCACUGAACAUUUCUAGUCACACGGGAAGAGAGGUCCAAUGGCAAGGCCAUACGCCCGUUUGGCUCCUCGCGGAGUAUAGCUCACAUCCAAAUAUCAUAUCUGAUUGGGGAACGGGGUAACACCCAUGAAGCUCCGACGGAAAGGGAAGGCCUGCCAGGCCGUAUGCCCAUGGGUGCAGGAUUCUUCGAAAAAGCGCGGGCUGACUCGGAGACCUGGGACCUUGGCUUAGCAACGAAUGAAUAUUUCUCCUCGAGCUUUCUCCGCCAGCGGCUUAUGUAGUGAUCGGCCAGCUCGCUAAGCUUCGCUUCCCUUUCCCCUUUACUUUAUUUAAUAAGGGAAGGGGGAAAGUCUUCACUUAGUAGUCGGCAUUAUAGAAGCGGUUUGUCGAGUCUACGAAGCUUUCCUUCUUGUAGUCGGCCCGUAAUGCCUCCCUUCAUUUGCUUGCCUCCUUCCUUACUUUUCAGAGAAGCAUUUUACGACUAUAAGGGGCGCUGUUCACCUUUGGAAACUUAGCUACACCGGUCACGAUAUCUUGUUGAUAUUGAUUGAGGACUUUCGCUGACUAAAUCCAUAAACCUAGAAAGUCACCGUCACUGGUACUUUUUUGACUCGAUAGGUAGGUAUUGGUGGAGCUUGCGUAAUGUAGUUGUAGUUAAGGUUGCAUUGAAGUCUUUCUUUUUUUUGAAGAUCUACUGAACAAAGGCGAACGGGGUUCCCAAGGCGGGACGUCUGGCAGAAUGCUUGGCCUCCCGCGCUGGAAGCGAGACCCGAAGGGUGAGCUUCUGGCGGUUAGCUUCUAGAACUUAUAAUAGGCAUUAGGCAUUCUGAGCUGGAAGGAGGCAAGCAAAAGGCCGACCACUCUAUCAUUUCCCAUUUCUGAUGGGAAGGCCGACCACUACACGGACUCUAUAACAAGUCAUGAGCGAUAUCGAAACCAAGCCAAAGCCUAUAGGCUUU